AUGUUUGUUAAUAUUUUUUUUUAUAAAUCUCUUUUUCUUUUCAAACCUACUCCAUGCAAUUCCUAUGAUUGUCACGCCUCCCCUGCAGGUUUCUUGGUAACAAAAUCAAAGUAAUAAUUUUUCUUGAUGAAUAGUAAGUUCACAGAUAGUUGAAUAUUCAAGGUUUAAACAAAGCCUUUAAUCACUGCAAAAUAUUAGAGCUAAUGGAACACUUCAUAAGGACUGCAAACAAUUCAUCCACCAACCCCAAAAUGAGGGAUCAACUGGACUGGGCACCAUUCUGUGGGGGAUAAAGUGCCAUACAUCACAGCAAAACAGAAAAUCUGCAGUGCUUGUCAUUUCUGUUUGCCAGGUGCUGUGGCUGGGGAGAGACCCCCCCCUCGCCCCGACUCAAUGUCUGAUAGAUUGUGGGUAAAGUCUGCAGAGAGCUGCAGGAUGCUUGGCAAUCUCCAUCUGCCCGGCACAGAGGAGGAGCAGGCAGGUCCCAUCCUUGAUGUAAUUGGAAUCAUUAACAGCAAAGCUACUGCUUACCCAGAGUGCCUCUGUGUGAGCUAUGCCUUUGGAUGGGGCAGACACAGGCAGCUGGAAUGGUCCAAGGGCUGGAACAAUGCUGGUUUCAGUGCUGCUACUCCUUUUCACUCAGAUAUUUCAAAGGAUUAUUCAGAACAAAACAGCAUCUACAAUUAA
rnacentral:lncRNA from 1 species